rnacentral:sRNA from 1 species
UCUCAUAUCUCUCUAUACGGGAGAGAAGCUUCGACUAAGGUUCGAUUCGAGCGUCAGCGAGAAAGCGUUGCCGCAGGCAACGACCCGAAGGGCGA